rnacentral:rRNA from 1 species
UACGUAGGGAGCAAGCGUUAUCCGGAUUUAUUGGGUGUAAAGGGUGCGUAGACGGGAAGACAAGUUGGUUGUGAAAGCCCUCGGCUCAACUGAGGAACUGCAACCAAAACUAUCAUUCUUGAGUGCGGGAGAGGAAAGUGGAAUUCCUAGUGUAGCGGUGAAAUGCGUAGAUAUUAGGAGGAACACCAGUGGCGAAGGCGACUUUCUGGACCGUAACUGACGUUGAGGCACGAAAGUGUGGGGAGCAAACAGGAUUAGAUACCCUGGUAGUCCACACCGUAAACGAUGGAUACUAGGUGUAGGGAACGAUAUGUUUUCUGUGCCGAAAGCAAACGCAAUAAGUAUCCCACCUGGGGAGUACGGCCGCAAGGUUGAA